GACGAACGCUGGCGGCGUGCUUAACACAUGCAAGUCGAACGGAAAGGCCCUGCUUUUGUGGGGUGCUCGAGUGGCGAACGGGUGAGUAACACGUGAGUAACCUGCCCUUGACUUUGGGAUAACUUCAGGAAACUGGGGCUAAUACCGGAUAGGAGCUCCUGCUGCAUGGUGGGGGUUGGAAAGUUUCGGCGGUUGGGGAUGGACUCGCGGCUUAUCAGCUUGUUGGUGGGGUAGUGGCUUACCAAGGCUUUGAAGGGUAGCCGGCCUGAGAGGGGGACCGGCCACAUUGGGACUGAGAUACGGCCCAGACUCCUACGGGAGGCAGCAGUGGGGAAUAUUGCACAAUGGGCGGAAGCCUGAUGCAGCAACGCCGCGUGCGGGAUGACGUCUUUCGGGUGGUAAACCGCUUUCGCCUGUGACGAAGCGUGAGUGACGGUAAUGGGUAAAGAAGCACCGGCUAACUACGUG
rnacentral:rRNA from 1 species